UACAGAGGGUGCGAGCGUUAAUCGGAAUUACUGGGCGUAAAGCGCACGUAGGUGGCGACGUAAGUCUGGUGUGAAAGCCCCGGGCUCAACCUGGGAAUUGCAUUCGAGACUGCAUUGCUGGAGUACGGAAGAGGAGGGCGGAAUUCCCGGUGUAGCGGUGAAAUGCGUAGAUAUCGGGAGGAACAUCAGUGGCGAAGGCGGCCCUCUGGUCCAGUACUGACACUCAAGUGCGAAAGCGUGGGGAGCAAACAGG
rnacentral:rRNA from 1 species